AGAGUUUGAUCAUGGCUCAGAUUGAACGCUGGCGGCAGGCCUAACACAUGCAAGUCGAACGGUAACAUUUCUAGCUUGCUAGAAGAUGACGAGUGGCGGACGGGUGAGUAAUGCUUGGGAACUUGCCUUUGCGAGGGGGAUAACAGUUGGAAACGACUGCUAAUACCGCAUAAUGUCUACGGACCAAACGGGGCUUAGGCUCCGGCGCAAAGAGAGGCCCAAGUGAGAUUAGCUAGUUGGUAAGGUAAUGGCUUACCAAGGCAACGAUCUCUAGCUGUUCUGAGAGUAAGAUCAGCCACACUGGAACUGAGACACGGUCCAGACUCCUACGGGAGGCAGCAGUGGGGAAUAUUGCACAAUGGGGGAAACCCUGAUGCAGCCAUGCCGCGUGUGUGAAGAAGGCCUUCGGGUUGUAAAGCACUUUCAGUUGUGAGGAAAAGUUAGUAGUUAAUACCUGCUAGCCGUGACGUUAACAACAGAAGAAGCACCGGCUAACUCCGUGCCAGCAGCCGCGGUAAUACGGAGGGUGCGAGCGUUAAUCGGAAUUACUGGGCGUAAAGCGCACGCAGGCGGUUUGUUAAGCUAGAUGUGAAAGCCCCGGGCUCAACCUGGGAUGGUCAUUUAGAACUGGCAGACUAGAGUCUUGGAGAGGGGAGUGGAAUUCCAGGUGUAGCGGUGAAAUGCGUAGAUAUCUGGAGGAACAUCA
rnacentral:rRNA from 1 species